rnacentral:rRNA from 1 species
AUUGAACGCUGGCGGCAGGCCUAACACAUGCAAGUCGAACGAGUGGCGGACGGGUGAGUAAGGUCUGGGAAACUGCCUGAUGGAGGGGGAUAACUACUGGAAACGGUAGCUAAUACCGCAUACCAUCAGAUGUGCCCAGAUGGGAUUAGGUAGUUGGUGGGGUAACGGCUCACCAAGGCGACGAUCCCGUGCUGGGCUGAGAGGAUGACCUGCCAACCUGGAACUUAGACAUGUGCCAGACUCCUACGGGAGGCAUCAGUGGUGAAUAUUGCACAAUGGGCGCAAGCCUGAUGCAGCCAUGCCGGGUGUAGGAAGAAGGCCUUCGGGUUGUAAAGUACUUUCGGCGGGGAGGCGUUACCCGCAGAAGAAGCACCGGCUAACUCCGUGCCAGCCGCCGCGGUAAUUC